rnacentral:piRNA from 1 species
GGCCUUGGCAUGUAGUAGACACAGCUCUGU